rnacentral:rRNA from 1 species
UGAGGAAUCUUGGACAAUGGGGGCAACCCUGAUCCAGCGACGCCGCGUGGAGGACGAAGGUCUUCGGAUUGUAAACUCCUUUUGUUCGGGAAUAAAAAAUCUGUGGAAACACGGAGAAUGAAUGUACCGGAUGAAUAAGCCACGGCUAACUUCGUGCCAGCAGCCGCGGUAAUACGAAGGUGGCAAGCGUUACUCGGAAUUACUAGGCGUAAAGGGCAGGUAGGUGGUUCGGUAAGUCUGUUGUGUAAGCUCCCGGCUUAACUGGGAGAGGUCAACAGAAACUACCAGACUUGAGUAUAGGAGAGGGUACUGGAAUUCCCGGUGUAGCGGUGAAAUGCGCAGAGAUCGGGAGGAACACCAAUGGCGAAAGCAGGUACCUGGACUAUUACUGACACUAAGCUGCGAAAGCUAGGGGAGCAAACAGGAUUAGAUACCCCCGUAGUCC